AGAAUCAACGCUGGCGGCGUGCCUCAGACAUGCAAGUCGAACGAGAAAGUUCCCUUCGGGGAGCGAGUAAAGUGGCGCACGGGUGAGCAACACGUAGGUAAUCUACCUUCGGGUGGGGAAUAACCCAGGGAAACUUGGGCUAACACCGCAUAAUGCAGCGGCACCACAUGGUGACAGUUGUUAAAGCGGGGGAUUUUCGGACCUCGCGCCUGAAGAGGAGCCUGCGGCGGAUUAGCUAGUUGGUAGGGUAACGGCUUACCAAGGCGACGAUCCGUA
rnacentral:rRNA from 1 species